CUUGUUGCCUUGGCAGGCCUUGAACUUUCUACAUAGUUAGGAUGUAAUUAAAAGAAUAUGAAUAUAUAUAGAUAUAGAUAUAGAUAUAUAGAUAUAGAUAUAUAGAGAGAUAGAUAGAGAGAGAGAUAGACAGAGAGACAGAGAGACAGACAGACAGACUUUAACUGAGAUGAGCCAUCUCACUGGCCUGACAUGCAUUUGACGCCAGCUCAGCUGUGAAGGUGGAGGCAACCUUCCUCAUCUGGUGCCACCAUCUCCUCUUUUGUUGGGCUCAUCAAGUACGUCAUGGGUCUGCUGUUGGGCUGUGUUCAAUUCCAAGCUAUACUGACUUCCUUUGUUGCCUAUUCCCUGCUUUUCUGACUGCCAUUGCUUGGUCAGUUCUUUUUGCCUUUGAGGAUUCUGGAAGGGCAUCGUCUCUUGCCAGAAGCCCUUCCCACGAGCCCCAUGUCAGAGAAUCUGCCCACCAGGAUUCUACGGCCAUGGCUGCGCCCAGCCUUGUCCUCUCUGCGUGCACAGCAGGGGGCCCUGCCAUCACGUCAGUGGCAUUUGUGAGUGCCUGCCAGGAUUCUCUGGAGCCUUGUGCAACCAAGGUACCUGUAACUAAUGGGGAGGCCAGGGCAGGGAACAAAGGGGCGAAGAGAAGGAAGGGUCCAGGGAUUCUCUUCUUAUGCUCUUGGAAUAAGAAAAAAGGUCACUGUGCUGCUGAAGGAACAGGCUCAGAGAGGUUACAUACAUGUCUAGAGUCUCACAGCUAUCAAGUGGCAGAAAUGAACUCAUUCUGCUAG
rnacentral:lncRNA from 1 species